CCUACGGGGGGCUGCAGUUGGGAAUAUUGGACAAUGGGGGGAACCCUGAUCCAGCCAUGCCGCGUGUGUGAAGAAGGCCCUCGGGUUGUAAAGCACUUUCAGUGAGGAAGAACGCCUGGUGGUUAAUACCCAUCAGGAAAGACAUCACUCACAGAAGAAGCACCGGCUAACUCCGUGCCAGCAGCCGCGGUAAUACGGAGGGUGCGAGCGUUAAUCGGAAUUACUGGGCGUAAAGCGCGCGUAGGUGGCUUGAUAAGCCGGUUGUGAAAGCCCCGGGCUCAACCUGGGAACGGCAUCCGGAACUGUCAAGCUAGAGUGCAGGAGAGGAAGGUAGAAUUCCCGGUGUAGCGGUGAAAUGCGUAGAGAUCGGGAGGAAUACCAGUGGCGAAGGCGGCCUUCUGGACUGACACUGACACUGAGGUGCGAAAGCGUGGGUAGCAAACAGGAUUAGAUACCCCUGUAGUC
rnacentral:rRNA from 1 species